ensembl:lncRNA
CAUCACUCCAUGGUGUCCUGGUUCUCCUGGUCUCCUCCCAACAGAGGGAGAGAGAUGAGAGGAGAGGGAGAGGAGGGUGUUCUCUUCAUCACUCCAUGGUGUCCUGGUUCUCCUGGUCUCCUCCCACGUAGACAGAGAGAGAGAGAGAUGAUGAAGAGGGACAGAGGGAGAGGAGGGUGUUCUCUUCAUCACUCCAUGGUGUCCUGGUUCUCCUGGUCUCCUCCCAGAGAGAGAGAUGAAGAGGGACAGAGGGAGAGAGAGGGUGUUCUCUUCAUCACUCCAUGGUGUCCUGGUUCUCCUGGUCUCCUCCCAUGUAGAGAGAGAGAGAGAUGAAGAGGGACAGAGGGAGAGGAGGGUGUUCUCUUCAUCACUCCAUGGUGUCCUGGUUCUCCUGGUCUCCUCCCAUGUAGACAGAGAGAGAGAGAUGAAGAGGGACAGAGGGAGAGGAGGGUGUUCUCUUCAUCACUCCAUGGUGUCCUGGUUCUCCUGGUCUCCUCCCAUG